rnacentral:rRNA from 1 species
GACGAACGCUGGCGGCGUGCUUAACACAUGCAAGUCGAACGGAAAGGCCCUGCUUUUGUGGGGUGCUCGAGUGGCGAACGGGUGAGUAACACGUGAGUAACCUGCCCUUGACUUUGGGAUAACUUCAGGAAACUGGGGCUAAUACCGGAUAGGAUCUCCUGCUGCAUGGUGGGGGUUGGAAAGUUUCGGCGGUUGGGGAUGGACUCGCGGCUUAUCAGCUUGUUGGUGGGGUAGUGGCUUACCAAGGCUUUGACGGGUAGCCGGCCUGAGAGGGUGAACGGCGACAAUGGGACUGAGAUACGGAGCAGACUCCUACGGGAGGCAGUAGUGGGGAAUAUUGCACAGUGGGCGGAAGCCUGAUGCAGAGACGCCGGGUGCGUGAUGACGGCCUUCGGGUUGUAAACCGCUUUAGCCUGUGACGAAGCGUGAGUGACGGUAAUGGGUAAAGAAGCACCGGCUAACUACGUG